UACGAAGGGUGCAAGCGUUGUUCGGAAUUACUGGGCGUAAAGCGCGCGUAGGCGGUUUAGUAAGUUGGGAGUGAAAUCCCGGGGCUCAACUCCAGAAUUGCUUUCAAAACUACUAAUCUAGAGUAUGGCAGGGGACAGUGGAAUUCCUAGUGUAGAGGUGAAAUUCGUAGAUAUUAGGAGGAACACCAGUGGCGAAAGCGACUGUCUGGACCAUUACUGACACUGAGGCGCGAAAGCGUGGGGAGCAAACAGG
rnacentral:rRNA from 1 species